rnacentral:rRNA from 1 species
GACGGGAGGGUGCUAGCGUUGUUCGGAAUUACUGGGCGUAAAGGGCGCGUAGGCGGCCUGGUCAGUCGGGUGUGAAGCCCGGGGCUCAACCCCGGAACGGCACCCGAGACGGCCAGGCUGGAGACCGGGAGAGGAGGGUGGAAUAGCCAGUGUAGAGGUGAAAUUCGUAGAUAUUGGCUGGAACACCGGUGGCGAAAGCGGCUGCUCUGGCCCGGUUCUGACGCUGAGGCGCGAAAGCGUGGGGAGCAAACAGG